UACGUAGGGUGCGAGCGUUGUCCGGAAUUAUUGGGCGUAAAGGGCUCGUAGGCGGUUUGUCGCGUCGGGAGUGAAAACCCAGGGCUUAACCCUGGGCUGGCUUCCGAUACGGGCAGACUAGAGGUAUGCAGGGGAGAACGGAAUUCCUGGUGUAGCGGUGAAAUGCGCAGAUAUCAGGAAGAACACCCGUGGCGAAGGCGGCUCUCUGGGACGGUACUGACGCUGAGACGCGAAAGCGUGGGGAGCAAACAGG
rnacentral:rRNA from 1 species